rnacentral:rRNA from 1 species
UAGGGAAUCUUCGGCAAUGGACGGAAGUCUGACCGAGCAACGCCGCGUGAGUGAAGAAGGUUUUCGGAUCGUAAAGCUCUGUUGUAAGAGAAGAACGAGUGUGAGAGUGGAAAGUUCACACUGUGACGGUAUCUUACCAGAAAGGGACGGCUAACUACGUGCCAGCAGCCGCGGUAAUACGUAGGUCCCGAGCGUUGUCCGGAUUUAUUGGGCGUAAAGCGAGCGCAGGCGGUUAGAUAAGUCUGAAGUUGAAGGCUGUGGCUUAACCAUAGUAGGCUUUGGAAACUGUUUAACUUGAGUGCAAGAGGGGAGAGUGGAAUUCCAUGUGUAGCGGUGAAAUGCGUAGAUAUAUGGAGGAACACCGGUGGCGAAAGCGGCUCUCUGGCUUGUAACUGACGCUGAGGCUCGAAAGCGUGGGGAGCAAACAGGAUUAGAUACCCUGGUAGUCCACGCUGUAAACGAUGAGUGCUAGGUGUUAGACCCUUUCCGGGGUUUAGUGCCGUAGCUAACGCAUUAAGCACUCCGCCUGGGGAGUACGACUGCAAGGUUG